rnacentral:rRNA from 1 species
GUUCAAAUCUGACGCUGAGGCGCGAAGGCGUGGGGAGCAAACAGGAUUAGAUACCCUAGUAGUCCACGCUGUAAACGAUGAAUGUUAAAUAUGGGAAGUUUUACUUUCUGUAUUACAGCUAACGCGUUAAACAUUCCGCCUGGGGACUACGGUCGCAAGAUUAAAACUCAAAGGAAUUGACGGGGACCCGCACAAGCGGUGGAGCAUGUGGUUUAAUUCGAUGCAACGCGAAAAACCUUACCACUCCUUGACAUGGAAAUUAUACCUAUUCGAAGGGAUAGGGUCGGUUCGGCCGGGUUUCACACAGGUGUUGCAUGGCUGUCGUCAGCUCGUGUCGUGAGAUGUUGGGUUAAGUCCCGCAACGAGCGCAACCCUCAUCCUUAGUUACCAUCAGGUAAUGCUGGGGACUUUAAGGAAACUGCCAGUGAUAAACUGGAGGAAGGUGGGGAUGAUGUCAAGUCAUCAUGGCCCUUAUGGAGUGGGCUACACACGUGCUACAAUGGUGGCUACAAUGGGCUGCAAAGUCGCGAGGCUAAGCUAAUCCCUUAAAAGCCAUCUCAGUUCGGAUUGUACUCUGCAACUCGAGUGCAUGAAGUUGGAAUCGCUAGUAAUCGUGGAUCAGCACGCCACGGUGAAUACGUUCUCGGGUCUUGUACACACUGCCCGUCACGCCAUGGGAAUUGGUUUCACUCGAAGCUAACGACCUAACCGCAAGGAGGGAGUUAUUUAAAGUGGGAUCGGUGACUGGGGUG